UACCAGAAAAUUGAGUCAUAUUUAUAAGGUAAAAAGAUAGUUAGACAUUGAAAAUUUUCGGGCUUACUGAUUAUUUAUAAAAAAGUAAAAUUUGAAUAUAAAUACAUAAUUUAAUAAUAGCUUAAUAAGUUGAAUCUAUGACAACCUUGAGGGAAACUGGGAUUAGAUACCCCAUUAUUCUAGGUUAUAAAUCAAAUGAAAUUUACCAGAGUACUAUGAAUACUACAGAAUUUAAAACUCAAAGGGCUUGGCGGUGUUUUAGACCACUCAGGGGAACCUGUCUCAUAAUCGACAAUCCACGUUAUAUCUGACCUUUUUUUGCUUUCAGCCUGUAUACCGUUGUCGUCAGGUAACUUUUUAGAAAUUAGAAGUUAGCUAAAAAUACUAUAAAUUAAAACGUCAAAUCAAGGUGCAGCUUAUAAGAAGGAGAGGAUGGGUUACAAUUAUUUAGUUAUAAUUACGAAAAAUCAUAAGAAUUAGGUGAUAAGAAGGAGGACUUGAAAGUAAAUUAGAGUAUAUAAAUAAUUUGAAUAAGGCUCUGAAACGUGC
rnacentral:rRNA from 1 species